GCAUCCAGCUACCCAGCCUGUUUGGGUGGACUCCAUCAACUCUGAAGAAGGAGAGACGAUCCCAAAACAGAUUAAAAUGAUCAAUAAAACCAAUAUAGUGAGCUCUGCAGGUGGAGAUGAGCCAUGUGUGCAGGCUGAGGAUUCUGCUGAAACGGCCUGCUCCAUGGGCCAAUGUUGGAAUCGGGCCUAGGAUAGAGACAGACUUGCUGUACGUACUUAAAAAGCUGAAAAGCGUGUAAAGCAGCGACUGGGGAGACUCAGCGUUUGGCGCAGGCUGGGCAGGCCCCAGGCCAGGGGCUUACAGGACCGACGCUUUGCCCGGAAGUACGCCCCCCUCGGGAGGAAUAGGAGGGUCGCCCACCGGCAGGGUCAACGUUGGACCCUGAGGAUGAGAAACGGACUGGGCAUCAGAACAAAAUCACCAGUCCGCAGGUCCACUAGAACCAGACUAGGCAGAGGACUUGGUCGUGGUUCCGGGGCCUGGGGCCGAAACAUCAUGAGGCAAGGGGAUGUCAACAUUAAGGAAGAGCUAGACCAGGAACCGGAUGAAUACAUGUCCCUGUCCACAACCCAACUAGACAACGAGCUAGAUGAAAAUAUGUCCCUGUCCACAACCCAACUAGACAACGAGCUAGAUGAAAAUAUGUCCAUGUCCACAACCCAACUAGACAACGAGCCAGAUGAAAAUAUGUCCAGAACCGAGCAAGACACUUAGCUUGAGAGUGUUGAAUAUGUGAGUGGAUGCCUUGCUUGUUUUCUUCAUUUAGACCUGUGCCUGCUGCUGCUUAGUGCUGGCUGUGUUAGCAUAAGUUGUUUUUCUUAAGACA